GAAUGAAUGAGCCGAUUGUCUAUUUUCUUUCUGAGAUCUCUGCCCCAUGAGAAGAAUCUCCAUAAUGAUUUGAGGUUCAUCAUGGGAAGAUAUUCCUAAGAACCUUGGAAGGGGUCAUACAGCUGUCCUCCUGAGGACCAAGCACUCUGCCAUCACUUAUUUUUAGCACUGUGGCCAGCUAGUGCCUCUCCAUUCAUUGUCAUCUACUAUAGUAAGAGACUUCUCGGCUACAGGCAUCGGACACCAUAUGUUCCAGUCUUGGUUGGAAUAGAGCUUCUGUAACAGUAGUUAAG